AACGUAGGAGACAAACGUUAUCCGGAGUUACUGGGCGUAAAGGGCGCGUAGGCGGUCGUGACAAGUCACUUGUGAAAUCUCCGGGCUUAACUCGGAACGGUCAGAUGAUACUGCUUUGCUAGAGUGCGGAAGGGCAAUCGGAAUUCUCGGUGUAGCGGUGAAAUGCGUAGAUAUUAGGAGGAACGACCGCAGUAGGCGGA
rnacentral:rRNA from 1 species